GAUCAACGCUGGCGGCGUGCCUAACACAUGCAAGUCGCACGAGAAAGUGGAGCAAUCCAUGAGUACAGUGGCGCACGGGUGAGUAACACGUGAAUCAUCUACCUUCGAGUGGGGAAUAACUGAGAGAAAUCUUAGCUAAUACCGCAUAAUACCUACGGGUCAAAGCAGCAAUGCGCUUGAAGAGGAGUUCGCGGCAGAUUAGUUAGUUGGCGGGGUAAUGGCCCACCAAGACGAUGAUCUGUAUCCGGCCUGAGAGGGCGCACGGACACACUGGAACUGAAACACGGUCCAGACUCCUACGGGAGGCAGCAGUGGGGAAUUUUGCGCAAUGGGGGAAACCCUGACGCAGCAACGCCGCGUGGAGGAUGAAGCCCCUU
rnacentral:rRNA from 1 species